UACAGCAUCGUGAUGGCCAAGGCGAGAGAUGAGGGUCCUACAGAGUAGUCUUACAAGUAGCUUUUGCAAAGGCUCCCGAGGUGUCCAGGUCUGCUAUGCAGAAAUGCCUGGACGAAGGAGUUUUCCCAGAGGUUUGGAAGCGGCAGAGCCUGGUACUAGUGCCAAGGUGGGGAAACCACUCGGAGACCGGUCGGCAUAUAGAGCAAUAUGCUUGAUCGACAUGGCUGGGAAGGUGCUCGAGAAAUUUAUUUGCUAUGUAUAACCAGAUCAUCGAGCAGGUCCGUGCAAAAAGAAGGCGCCAAGGGAGGGGUUUUUCCAAAUUUUGGCAAAAAGCGUAGGGUGUCCUAGUGUAUGGAAUAUCAGCAAUGGCAGGGAUUUAUUACUCAAAACCCCUCCCUAGUGCACGGACUUGCCUCGGCACAAAUCUUGUAACACAUAUUUGCUGCAGUCAGUUGGAUGAGGAUGGUAAUACCAAUAAUUCCAAAAGAAGUGGAAAACUUGCUGUAAAUUAAAAGAAAUGUAUUGUGAUGAUAAGAUGAACAAACUAACGACAACCAACCUUUCACAUUUCGUCAAAUAUAUAAAACCAUGUAUAGUUCGACUCAGUAACGCUAAGCUCAUAGGUGAUCAAUACUCAUUUUGAGCUGGAGCUCAGUUAACAUAUUGACCUUAUCGUUUCAAGCAUGGUUCACUCGUGUGUGUUGUGAGACGCUGGGUAAUCCCCGAAAACACCAUAGCUCGCGGUAAUAUUGGCCUUUUCUUCUUUAGCUUCAUUCUGUUCGCAGCUCUUCAUUACAUUUGUUAAUUCUCAGUUGGAGGUCGUGGGGUUGAUUAGUUGUUUUCGGCUCAUAAUGAAAGAUUUAACAACAAUAUUUGCUAUGGUGAUAUACAGUUGCACCCUGAUGGAAAAAUGCCCUGCAUCUGGUUCAGUGGUGCCUAUUAAUUGUUCUACGCAAAUGUAUCCACCUAUAGAAAUUCAAAAAAAGCCAUCUACGAAAGUAACCACAGAAUGUCCCGAACCGUUUGUUUUGUGCCCUCCGGUAUAUUUACCUCAUCAUGAUUGUGACAAAUAUUACAUCUGCACGGUGAACGGUGCCGUGGAAAAGCAAUGCACCGAUAGAUUCCACUGGAGUAUUGAGGCCAAUAGAUGCGACAGACCAUGGCUCACUCGACGUAGCUGUAGAAGAAGAGGCCCAGCAGCUGGAACGAGAUCCUCUCAUGUAGUGCCGCCAACUUUACCAACCACGAGAAUGAGUGAGACGCCUAUAAUGCCAAGAUCCACUACAGAAGCGACGAUUCAAUUCGAACAGAGUAACAGGAUAGGAAACCCCAUGGAAGUUGAAGACGAAUACACCACAGAUGUCCCUGUAAUAUAAUAAAUAAAGAAUAACAUGAAAGUUUGAUUUUAAG